CAGGAUGAACGCUGGCGGCGUGCUUUACACAUGCAAGUCGAACGGUGAAGCUGAGAGCUUGCUCUUGGUGGAUCAGUGGCGAACGGGUGAGUAACACGUGAGUAACCUGCCCCAGACUCUGGGAUAAGCACUGGAAACGGUGUCUAAUACCGGAUAUGAGCCUCCACCGCAUGGUGAGGGGUUGGAAAGAAUUUCGGUCUGGGAUGGACUCGCGGCCUAUCAGCUUGUUGGUGAGGUAAUGGCUCACCAAGGCGACGACGGGUAGCCGGCCUGAGAGGGUGACCGGCCACACUGGAACUGAGACACGGUCCAGACUCCUACGGGAGGCAGCAGUGGGGAAUAUUGCACAAUGGGCGCAAGCCUGAUGCAGCAACGCCGCGUGAGGGACGACGGCCUUCGGGUUGUAAACCUCUUUUAGUAGGGAAGAAGCGAAAGUGACGGUACCUGCAGAAAAAGCACCGGCUAACUACGUGCCAGCAGCCGCGGUAAUACGUAGGGUGCAAGCGUUAUCCGGAAUUAUUGGGCGUAAAGAGCUCGUAGGCGGUUUGUCGCGUCUGCUGUGAAAACUGGGGGCUCAACCCCCAGCCUGCAGUGGGUACGGGCAGACUAGAGUGCGGUAGGGGAGAUUGGAAUUCCUGGUGUAGCGGUGGAAUGCGCAGAUAUCAGGAGGAACACCGAUGGCGAAGGCAGAUCUCUGGGCCGUAACUGACGCUGAGGAGCGAAAGCAUGGGGAGCGAACAGGAUUAGAUACCCUGGUAGUCCAUGCCGUAAACGUUGGGAACUAGAUGUAGGGGCCAUUCCACGGUUUCUGUGUCGCAGCUAACGCAUUAAGUUCCCCGCCUGGGGAGUACGGCCGCAAGGCUAAAACUCAAAGGAAUUGACGGGGGCCCGCACAAGCGGCGGAGCAUGCGGAUUAAUUCGAUGCAACGCGAAGAACCUUACCAAGGCUUGACAUAUACGAGAACGGGCCAGAAAUGGUCAACUCUUUGGACACUCGUAAACAGGUGGUGCAUGGUUGUCGUCAGCUCGUGUCGUGAGAUGUUGGGUUAAGUCCCGCAACGAGCGCAACCCUCGUUCUAUGUUGCCAGCACGUCAUGGUGGGAACUCAUAGGAGACUGCCGGGGUCAACUCGGAGGAAGGGUGGGGAUGACGUCAAAUCAUCAUGCCCCUUAUGUCUUGGGCUUCACGCAUGCUACAAUGGCCGGG
rnacentral:rRNA from 1 species